UCCUGGGAAGAGCCCAGCUGGGCUUGGAUGUGCAGCAGCUUAGCCACAGACAGUUAAUCAAACCUGAUGACAUUUCUGUCUCCGGUUCAACAGGGAAGCCAACCUUUAAGGCUGCUCUCUGCUUUGUGAGCGCCAAUGAGAUCACUUUUCUCGGGAUGGGAAGAGAGCUCAGCAUUCUGUUUUUGAAGGUACUAAAGAGCACAUGCACAGGCACCUCUCUAGUUGGGACAGCCUGGCUCGCUGCGAAGUGGGGACACAGGCCUCUCCUGAGCAGAAAGGCAGGGAGAGACGCCCAGUGUCCCGGUCUCCAUACGGGAGCUUGUUAUCUGGAGAAGAAGACAAGAAAAGAGCAUCUCUGAUUGUGGCCUGCAAGUUCAAGUGCUUGUCAUCUACAAGGUAAACAAUACAUACCCGUGGAAAGACUGAGUGAUUCAGCCAACAGGAAGAAACGGCACAUAGUCCUGAGUUGCCAGGAGUGCUUUCUUGCCAGAUGCCCAGCCCGAUGCAGAGGAACUGCACCAGCAUCACUGGCAACAGCACCAGCACCACCAGUAGAGAUGGGAUGCUGAGACUCCUCUUGCACCCACGACCAGGGAGCAGAAGGCAGGACAGAGCCACAGGUGCACAGGCCCUGAGUAUCUGGCUUUAUAACCCUGGCUGGGAGGGGCCCCGAUGGGAGCUGAGACAAAGGGCUGCACUCUCACUGCAGAGUGAACAGAGGGCUGGUGGGAGCCCUAGCCUUCCUGCCUGCCUCCAGGGGGGUGAGCACACACCACCAUGUGACUGCCCAUAUUUAGAGAACAUGCUCCUCAAUAGAG